UUCAUGAGGAGAAACUCAGAAGUGGAGAGAACGUCUGAGGCUACAUAGCCAGUACAAAAUUGCUUCUUGACCUGUGCAACUUUCUGAUUUGAUGAGUUCAACAGAAACCAACUCAAGGGAGAAGAAUAAAGACAUUGUUGAACUUAGACUUUGACAAAAUGCAUAUUGGAUAUCUAAAUAGAGAUAUCAAGAAAUGAAGAUAUGAGUUUCCAGUUCCAGGGAGAAAUUCAGACUAGAAAUAUAAAUUUAGGAAUUUUAAAGUUAGUGGUCACAUUUAAAGCUGCAGAAUACAAAGAGAUCACCUGUGUGAGAGAACUGAGUCCUGAAACAUACCCAUGUUUAAAGAUCUGGGAGGUGUAGAGGAACUAUCAAAGGAGACUGAGAAGGAGCAGCCGGUGAGGUGUGCAGAAAAACAAGAUAAGCAAAAAGAAAAGUAAGAGAUACGGAACUGGACUUCCCUUUGGCAAAAAAUUUAGAAAAUGAUAAUUAGACUCCGCUUUCUGUCUCUCUGAAGAUAACGUUAAGCUGCAGCUCCAUAUCUGUGAAAACCC
rnacentral:sRNA from 1 species